CUGGAGUGCAGUGGCGCGAUCUCAGCUUACUUCAGCCUCCGCCUCCCGGUUUCAAGUGAAUUCUCCAGCCUCAACUUCACAAGUAGCUGGGAUUACAGGGCAUUCAAGCAGCCCUGAGGAGAGGUCCACAUGGUGAGCCACUGAGGGCCUUGCCAAGAGCCAGCACCAACGGUCCAGGUUUGGAGUGUACCACCUUGGAAGUGAAUCUUCCAGUCCAGUCAAGCCUUCAGAUGACUUCAGAACCGUCCAUGUAAGCCACUCUUGGAUUCCUGACCCACAGAAACUGUUGGAGAACAUCACCUGUAGUCUUGCCAGUGAGAUCAAACUGAAGUCCAAUUAACCUCUGGAUCCAGCUGCCAAUUUGCAGGAAAUAGAGGAGAGAAGCAUCUGUUGAACUGCACCAUGAGUAUACACUCAGCAAAGGCCAAACUGUGGAAAAUGAUACAGGUCAAACAGCCUGGAUUCUUUAACAGUGAUGUUUCUGAAGCACCAAUGAAAAUGAAGUCCUGAAGUCCUGUGCUCAAUAUGAAAUGUUGGAAGUUAGAAGAAAAAAACAAAACUUGGAUCCAAUCUCAAGGCACUUUUUGUUUAAUGGGAAGAAG
rnacentral:lncRNA from 1 species